rnacentral:rRNA from 1 species
AAUGAACGUUGGCGGCGUGGAUUAGGCAUGCAAGUCGAACGCGUGUAGCAAUACACGAGUGGCGAAAGGGACAGUAACACGUAGAUACGUACCCUCCGGUCUGGGAUAGUCCGUCGAAAGACGGGGUAAUACCAGAUAACGUCUCCGGACCAAAGGUGUGAUUCCACCGGUGGAGCGGACUGCGUCCUAUUAGCUUGUUGGUAGGGUAACGGCCUACCAAGGCAAUGAUGGGUAGCGGGUGUGAGAGCACGACCCGCGUCACUGGGACUGAGACACUGCCCAGACACCUACGGGUGGCUGCAGUCGAGGAUCUUCGGCAAUGGACGCAAGUCUGACCGAGCGACGCCGCGUGCGGGAUGAAGGCUUUCGGGUUGUAAACCGCUGUCAGUGGGGAGGAAAUCGUAGAGGGUAAUCUCUCUAUGUUGACCUAUCCGCAGAGGAAGCAAGGGCUAAGUUCGUGCCAGCAGCCGCAGUAAAAC